GACGAACGCUGGCGGCGUGCUUAACACAUGCAAGUCGAACGGAAAGGCCCUGCUUUUGUGGGGUGCUCGAGUGGCGAACGGGUGAGUAACACGUGAGUAACCUGCCCUUGACUUUGGGAUAACUUCAGGAAACUGGGGCUAAUACCGGAUAGGAGCUCCUGCUGCAUGGUGGGGGUUGGAAAGUUUCGGCGGUUGGGGAUGGACUCGCGGCUUAUCAGCUUGUUGGUGGGGUAGUGGCUUACCAAGGCUUUGGCGGGUAGCCGGCCUGAGAGGGUGACCGGCCACAUUGGGACUGAGAUACGGCCCAGACUCCUACGGGAGGCAGCAGUGGGGAAUAUUGCACAAUGGGCGGAAGCCUGAUGCAGCAACGCCGCGUGCGGGACGACGGCCUUCGGGUUGUAAACCGCUUUCGCCUGUGACGAAGCGUGAGUGACGGUAAUGGGUAAAGAAGCACCGGCUAACUACGUG
rnacentral:rRNA from 1 species